rnacentral:snoRNA from 1 species
UCCCCCUCAGGAUCGCACCCGGAGAGUUAGUUCCCAGGACUCUACCAGUCUCGGCUACGGGAGGGAGAGUCAAGCGGAGGCAUACCGAUUCCAGUCCUAGCUUAGGCAGUGGCUAGUGAGUGGAAGGCAAUCUGCUACAAAA